rnacentral:lncRNA from 1 species
AGAAUGGGUUUUGUCAUCAGUUGGAGCCAUAUACUAAUGCUGGACAUUCUGCAAAUUUGAGGUUAAUCAGUGUUGAAACAUUUGAAAAGAAAGUAGAGUCUGUAAUGAUUCCAGAAGGAUUACAAGCAGAGUUUUUUUCUGAGAUUAAUCAAGGAGGUACUAAAUAUGGUCCGUUUUAUGGCCCUAAUUCAAUCGAUGAUUUUUGUAUAAAAGACAAAGUUGUUUCCAUAAGGAUAUUAUACAGUCAAAAAGAAGUUUCACAAAUGGUAAAGAUUUGCAAAGGAGAAUCUUUUUCUCAUCAGUGCGAAUAUCUGGAUA